ensembl:lncRNA
ACAUGAUUGGACUCAACAGCAUACAUUCAUCUUGUCAUUGGAAGCAGUCCAGUUCGUGACUCACUCCUCUCUCAUGGGAGCCUGCUGUCAUUGAUGGAGGAGUUGGUGAAGUGCCAUCAACCAGUAAACCACAUUCUGAUGGCACAUAAAUCAAAUCAAACUUUAUUUGUCACGUACGCCGAAUACCACAGGUGUAGGUAGACCUUACAGUGAAAUGCUGACUUACAACAGGCUCUAACCAACAGGCAAUUUCUAAGUAAAGAAAAUAGGUAUUAGGUGAACAACAGAUAAGUAAGGAAAAGUAAGGAACAGUGAAUGAUAACAGUAGAGAGGCUAUAUACAGUAGAGAGGCUAUAACAGUAGAGAGGCUAUAUACAGUAGAGAGGCUAUAACAGUAGAGAGGCUAUAUACAGUAGAGAGGCUAUAUACAGUAGAGAGGCUAUAUACAGUAGAGAGGCUAUAUACAGUAGAGAGGCUAUAACAGUAGAGAGGCUAUAUACAGUAGAGAGGCUAUAUACAGUAGAGAGGCGAUAUACAGUAGAGAGGCUAUAUACAGUAGUGAGGCGAUAUACAGUAGAGAGUCUAUAUACAGUAGUGAGGCGAUACACAGUAGAGAGUCUAUUUACAGUAGAGGCUAUAUACAGUAGAGGCUAUAUACAGGCCCCGGUUAGUCAGGCUGAUUGAGGUAGUAUGUAGAUAUGGUUAAAGUGACUAUGCAAAUAUGAUGAACAGAGAGUAGCAGUAGCGUAAAAGAGAGAUUGGCGGGUGGUGGGUGGUUGGACACAAUGCACCGGUUAGUUGGGCUAUUUGAGGUAGUAUGUAGAUAAAUGACUAAGUGACUAAGCAUAUAUGAUCAACAGAGAGUAACAGCAGCAUAAAAUAGGGGUUGGGGGGGCACACAAUGCAAAUAGUCAUUCAACCUGUUCAGGAGUCUUAUGGCUUGGGG